UACGGGGGGUGCGAGCGUUGUCCGGAAUCACUGGGCGUAAAGGGCGCGUAGGCGGUCACGCACGUCCGUUGUGAAAUCGCUCGGCUCAACUGGGCGGGGUCAGCGGAUACGGCGUGGCUGGAGCAAGCUAGGGGGCAAUGGAAUUCCCGGUGUAGUGGUGGAAUGCGUAGAUAUCGGGAGGAACACCAGUGGCGAAGGCGGUUGCCUGGAGCUUUGCUGACGCUGAUGCGCGAAAGCGUGGGGAGCGAUCCGG
rnacentral:rRNA from 1 species